rnacentral:lncRNA from 1 species
UCGAUUUGUUUACUAUUGAUUCUCCAUAAGUGAUUUAAUUUGCUACAUUUAUAAAAUUGUGCUUUCGUAUUGUUUCACUAAUAUGAGUUUUGUUUUUUUCUUAACUUCUUCUUUGAAUUCCGUGAAUUACAUAAGUUUUAAUUUAACAAGAUGGACAUCUGUAAAAAUUAUUUUUACUCCAUAUACAUAUCUAAGAAUCAAAAGUGUAUUUCUGGGAUUGUCA